UACAGAGGUCUCGAGCGUUGUUCGGAUUCAUUGGGCGUAAAGGGUGCGUAGGUGGCACUGUAAGUCGGGUGUGAAAUCCUGAGGCUUAACCUCGGAACUGCAUUCGAUACUGCGGUGCUUGAGGACUGGAGAGGAGACUGGAAUUCAUGGUGUAGCAGUGAAAUGCGUAGAGAUCAUGAGGAAGACCAGUGGCGAAGGCGGGUCUCUGGGCCGAUACUGACGCUGAGGAGCGAAAGCGUGGGGAGCGAACAGG
rnacentral:rRNA from 1 species